rnacentral:rRNA from 1 species
AUGAACGCUGGCGGCGUGCCUAAUCCCUGCAAGUCGCGCGAACAGACGAGGAGCUUGCUCCUCUGACGUUAGCGGCGGACGGGUGAGUAACACGUGGAUAACCUACCUAUAAGACUGGGAUAACUUCGGGAAACCGGAGCUAAUACCGGAUAACAUGUUGAACCGCAUGGUUCAACAGUGAAAGACGGUCUUGCUGUCACUUAUAGAUGGAUCCACGCCGCAUUAGCUAGUUGGUAAGGUAACGGCUUACCAAGGCAACGAUGCGUAGCCGACCUGAGAGGGUGAUCGGCCACACUGGAACUGAGACACGGUCCAGACUCCUACGGGAGGCAGCAGUAGGGAAUCUUCCGCAAUGGGCGAAAGCCUGACGGAGCAACGCCGCGUGAGUGAAGAAGGUCUUCGGAUCGUAAAACUCUGUUAUUAGGGAAGAACAAAUGUGUAAGUAACUAUGCACGUCCUGACGGUACCUAAUCAGAAAGCCACGGCUAACUACGUG